UGACCUCGAAUCAGGUAGGACUACCCGCUGAACUUAA
rnacentral:rRNA from 2 species